GCCAUUCCGCGUGCAGGACGAAGGCCUUCGGGUUGUAAACUGCUUUUGUACGGAACGAAAAGGUCUCUAUUAAUACUAGGGGCUCAUGACGGUACCGUAAGAAUAAGCACCGGCUAACUACGUGCCAGCAGCCGCGGUAAUACGUAGGGUGCAAGCGUUAAUCGGAAUUACUGGGCGUAAAGCGUGCGCAGGCGGUUAUAUAAGACAGAUGUGAAAUCCCCGGGCUCAACCUGGGAACUGCAUUUGUGACUGUAUAGCUGGAGUGCGGCAGAGGGGGAUGGAAUUCCGCGUGUAGCAGUGAAAUGCGUAGAUAUGCGGAGGAACACCGAUGGCGAAGGCAAUCCCCUGGGCCUGCACUGACGCUCAUGCACGAAAGCGUGGGGAGCAAACAGGAUUAGAUACCCUGGUAGUCCACGCCCUAAACGAUGUCAACUGGUUGUUGGGUCUUCACUGACUCAGUAACGAAGCUAACG
rnacentral:rRNA from 1 species